rnacentral:lncRNA from 1 species
UUCGUCCUCCGCAAGGAAGGAACGAGUCGGUUCCCCUUUCCGUCUUUCGGUAGCAUAAAGAAAAUAGAUUCAAAUUGACAAACCACCAAAAGAGUGAGAAAAAGGGGGCAAGUGUACAUUAGGCCAUGUGCAACAAACAAAGUACAAGGAUAGCACCGUACCCUCAUAGUCCUCAAUCUUUGGCACAUCUGGAUCGGGAUCGGCGGAAACUCACUCGGUCUGCGCGUCUACCGGGGCACCAUACUUACUUUUUUCUUUAUGAUAUAAGGAGUGCACGGAACUUCAUAAAGAGUGAAUAGAAUUCACUCUAUACCCAUAUCCCUGGAACAACUGUAAAAUAAACUCCAUCUUAGUCUACCCG